rnacentral:rRNA from 1 species
GUGGGGAAUCUUGCGCAAUGGGCGAAAGCCUGACGCAGCGACGCCGCGUGGGCGACGAAGGCCUUCGGGUCGUAAAGCCCUGUGGGGAGGGACGAACAAGCCGAAAGGCCCUGACGGUACCUCCUUAGCAAGCACCGGCCAACUCCGUGCCAGCAGCCGCGGUAAGACGGAGGGUGCGAACGUUGUUCGGAAUUACUGGGCGUAAAGCGCGUGUAGGCGGUUUGGUGUGUCGAGUGUGAAAUCCCUCGGCUUAACCGGGGAACUGCACCCGAAACUACCAGACUGGAGUACGGGAGAGGGAGGUGGAAUUCUCGGUGUAGAGGUGAAAUUCGUAGAUAUCGAGAGGAACACCGGUGGCGAAGGCGGCCUCCUGGACCGAUACUGACGCUGAGACGCGAAAGCGUGGGGAGCAAACAGGAUUAGAAACCCCUGUAGUCC